AACCCACGGUGAGGGGACCUUCUCAAUAAAUCCUUAUACCUCUCCGAUGCAUCAUAUAAGGUCUCUAAUCCAUUUACAUGAAGGAAGAGAUAUCAUUCCUCAACUU
rfam:Gossypium arboreum cultivar AKA8401 contig_98490_1, whole genome shotgun sequence.